AUACGGAGGGUGCAAGCGUUACUCGGAAUCACGGGGCGUAAAGCGCGCGCAGGCGGCUAUUUAAGUUGGAUGUGAAAGCCUACGGCUCAACCGUAGAACUGCAUCCAAAACUGUCAGUCUAGAGUGUGGGAGAGGAAGAUGGAAUUAGUUGUGUAGGGGUAAAAUCCGUAGAGAUAACUAGGAAUACCAAAAGCGAAGGCAAUCUUCUGGAACACUACUGACGCUGAGGCGCGAAGGCGUGGGGAGCAAACAGGAUUAGAAACCCUAGUAGUCC
rnacentral:rRNA from 1 species